UUUACCAUGUCAGCCAUUUCGCUGCCUAUUUUAUUUUCAAUUGCCUAAUAAAAUUCUAUGGAUAUACGUGGUUAAUAUUACCUAUGUAGUCAGCAUGAUGAAGUGGUCAAUUAAAAUUUACUCUCUGAAGUCUCCCCUAAUGUCUUGUAAUUACAUUCAUGAUUUUCUGAAAAGGCUCAGUGCACUGGAGGAGAUGAGAUCUACAUGCAUCUAUUGAGUCCCAGAGUGCUGAGGAACAGAAAGUUUUAAAUAACUUAUAUGUUAUUGUUUGUUUAUCCUGCUCAUUUUACCUUAAUCUAGCAUCCAAUUAAGCAUAUCCGUCUCAAAUUAUGAAUAUAUUCUCAAAUUAUGAAUAUAUUCAGAAUUGAGGUCAGUGCAUUUCGUUAGGGAAAAUAAAUGGUUCUUCAGUGGGUUAUUACUGUCAGCCAUACCUCUAGUAAGUUUAAUAUGGAAAUCUGCCAAAUAUUCAGUUCAUAGUCAUUAUAAUGAAGUAGAUUUUUUUCUAUUACAUGCAAAUUUAGGUUUUUUUAAAGUAUGUUCCAGCUAUUGUCAAGAAAACAGCUACAAACAUGUCAAAAAUGUCCACCUUUUUAUUGUUUCUGCUUCAGUCUGGGAACAUUCAACUAAGGAGGAAAAGGAAGAGGAGAGAAGGAGGAGAAGCAGGAGGAGAAGAAAAAGGAGAAGGAAAAGGAAAAGAAAGCAAAAAACAAACAAAACAAACAAACAAAGUGGAAGAAUGAAUGAAGAGACAAGAAAGUUUGGCCCAUUUACACGAUGGAGUAUUACUUAGCUUUUGAAAAAAUGAUAUGAAAUUUGCAGGCAAAUGCAUCGAACUGGAAACAAUCAUCAUGAGUGAUUUCCAACUAUAAUUUGAAACUUGUGCAGACACAUAUGACAAAGAGGUUAUAUAAACAUGAGUACCAUGUAUGUGCCUGAUGACUGCAAAGAUCAAAUGAUGGUGGAGUCCCUGGAACUGAAGUCACUGCUGGAUAUAAGUCACUAUCUGGGGUGUUGAAAGCCAAAUUCAUGCCUGCUUCAAAAUCAACAGGUCCUAUUAACCAUUGACUAAUCUCUCCAGAAGCUCAAAUUCUGGGUUCUAUUGCCACUAUAUAUUCGUUGUCAUUAAAUC
rnacentral:lncRNA from 1 species